GGUUCAUCUUUUAUUCCCCCAUACCCUUUCAUUUAAAUCAAGAGGAUGAGAUGUGGUUAUUGCUGUGUUUUUAGGCAGAAUCAACGGUUUCUGGGUCUGAGAUGUUGCAUACACCCUCUCAGUCCCUGUAGCCUGAGAUGGAGUCACGUGAGAAUCCACAGCAAGUCCUAACCAGGGAUGGGUCUGGGUGAUUAAGGAAGGUUGGCUUCAGAACUGGGCCAGGGGCACUGCUUUGCUUUUGCUGUUUUGAUCAGCUCUCUGCCUGCAGGAGACAAGGAAAAUCAAUGGGAACAGAAAUUGCCUGUUUGCUCCACUCUGGUUGAAGAAACCAGUCUGACUGUCUCUGAGGCUAUGGAGCAGUCCAUCAAGAAUGAAAGCCCUCUGCCAGGCACGUUGGCUCACACCUGUAAUACCAGCACUUUGGGAGGCCGAGGCAGGUGGAUCACUUGAGGUCAGGAGUUCGACACCAGCAUGGCCAACAUGGUGAAACCCUGUCUCUACAGAAAAUAAUACUUUGCAAGGCCUCAGAAACUCUGCUAUCCACAGGCAGGUAGAAGUUGCUGGUCCCAUCUUGCUCACAAUCCUCCAAAGUUUGGAAGUUACUUUCCAGGAGACUUAGCUUGCACUGAGAGCUGCCCUCCCACCCUCUCUCCAAAUUUCCUCUUGGGAGUAGCCUAACAAGGUGCUGUCACAGACCCUUGCCAGCCACGAUGACCCCACCCAGACCAUCCCUCUGCUGUUUCACUCUUUGAUACUCUCUGGAGCUCUCUGGGGAGGGGUGAGACCUGCUGUCUGCUUUGUACUGUUUGCCCAGGUCUUACAGUCAUGGCUGGCUCCUCUCUCUGAGAACUGGGACUCCUGAACUUGGUGAAAUACCUCAGCCAUCGAUCAUGUUAAAUUAUCGGGGACACUCAUUAAAAAUGUGAGUCUGCUCCAGAUGGACUCUCUCUCUUUCUGCCCUGACCGUGAGGGAGACCGUGAGAGAGAGAGACCGUGAGAGAGAGAAACCGUGAGAGAGACCAUCAGAGAGAGAAAGAGAGACCGUGCCCUGACCUGCUGGACAGUGGAGAUGCUUGUGGGCUGUGAGCAACAGAUGCAAGGGCUGCCGGGAAUCCCAUCUUUCCAGCAUCAUCUGCCAAGGCACAUCAGUUCCUGGGUGUCUUGAUGGGUUCUGGCAGCAUUACUGUCAUUGAAGGAAAACAUUUUAGCCAUAUUAAAGGUGAACUCAGCAAUCCCCACACAGCCUGCCUGGAAGGGACGCGGGACAAGGGUAGGUUCUCCCUGUGAUGGACAGGAGGCAGGCGACCCUCCCACAGCCCUACCUGGCAAUGCAGAUGUGUCCCCAAAAGGCACUGGGGGCAGCUGGAGUGCUGUGCCUAGGCGGGCUCACCCGGGCAGCGGUUCGCUCUGAUUGCAGUGGUUUCCCACCAGCUCCUUGGAGAGCUGGCAGAUGACCCAGCCCCACAGCAGGAGCCGGGAAUGGCAGAACGAGAUACAACAAUUUGAUAUCCACUUGCCAGAUGAGCCGGGUGUCCUCAGUCGCCUGGCUCUGUGCCCAACCUCUUUUUACAUAAACACUUAUGAAUUGAGCCAGGAGGAAAAGCACUCUGAUUAUGAAUUGAGCAGAAGGAAACAAAGUUCUGCAGAUAAACACCAAUGAAACAAAAAACCACGAAUAAGAAAAAUGACAGAAAAGGAGAACCUUCCCAGAAGCCUCCUGCCAGUGAACGGUCACCAGAGCAAGAGCAUGGAGGCCCUGGGUUUUGAACUGUGAGAUAAGGAAGAUGAUGAAAACCUCCCUAGCAGCCAGGCAAGCACAAGAUUCCUGUGAAAUCCAGGUCUAAGUGUUUUGACAACAGAAGUAAUAUUAUGUCAUAGGUGAGAGCUGUGAGUUGCUGAACCCAAAGUGAGUUCAAAUCCGAGCUCUGCCUCCUGCUACCUGUGUGACUUUGAGAAGUUCCAGCACUGCUUUGUGCCUCAGUUUUGUCAUCUGUUAAAUGGGCGUAAUCACAGCUCCUGCCUCAGAGUUGUUGUAAAUUAAUACAUGUAAAGCACUGAAAUCAGCCUGGUA
rnacentral:lncRNA from 1 species